ensembl:lncRNA
UAGAAAGGUAGUUCAAGUAAUCUGAUUGCCUCAAAGGGAAACACAAUUCAAAACAGCCAUGUCUACCCUACAGUCAGCUCAUCAGCCCUGCCAAGGAGCAGAAGAGAAGCAACCUAAGGCAUGUUAAAAACAUAUUAAUGUUACACCAGACUCUGAUUCUAACAUUCAAACCAGAAAUAUAUCUUCAACUUUCAAAAACAUUUAAUGCAAAUAUAUAGCAAUUAACAGACUAUUAACACUAUCAGGGGCACAGUUUGUAGAAGAAAGGCCACAGAAAUUUGAUAGUUAUGUACUUCAUAACGACUGCAGGUUCCAAGCCUUUUUACCUCUUUCCCUUGCAAGUCCUUUGUGAGCCACCUUCCCAGCUCUUCUCUGUAAUGACCUCCCUGUGAUUCCUGUUCCAAAGUUCCUCUUAGUUCUGAAUGUCCCAGUGUUCUUCUUUCAAACUCAAUGCUCCUCCAACUCAUCCACUCUCCUCUUCCUAUAAAUAUCUGGGCUGUAAUCACUUUACUCCACGUUUCUUUCCGUAAGGAGCCUUAAGUUUUCAGGUCUGCAUCAGCUUCAGGCAAACAACUUCAUUUUUUCUUCCUGCUGAAUGUAUUGCUGCAGUUCAGGGCCAGUCCCCUUCCUCCAGCUGCAGCAGGGGCAUUGCACAGGUGUAAACCAUAAAGAAAAAGCAAUGUUUCUUGCACAUCUAUGUAAAGCACUCAAUUUUUCCUGCAUCGCUGGUAGGUUCUGGUGGAGUCUUUGUGUGUCUGUUAGGGGAAUAGACCUAUGCUUUAACCUUCCCACUCCUCGUGUCAUUCUGCAUUACUGUGGAUGGGACUACAUCAACAUAGGGGUGGGUAAUGUAUCCUGUCAGUUUGUCAUAAUGGUGCUAAACUUAACAAAGUAAAAAUGGAACAUAGGGGCCACAGAAAGAUGGACUCAUCAACAUCUGCUCUGAUUAACUACAUACUAUAAAGCUUUGUUGCUUACUUUUGCACUGGACAAUAUGCCAGCAGUUUUCCAAAACUUCUUAAAAAAUAAAGUCCUGUAAAGUAUUUUCUGUUUGAUUGUUCUGAAGACCAGUUCAAGAAUAGGAAAAGCACUGCUAUCACAGUGGUAUAGCAUGUCUGAAAUAUUUUGGUCUUAUUUGUGAUCAAAAAAUACUUGGCCUCCCUUUCUGCAAAGAAAUCUUCUUUUUCUGUGCUUACAGCUCAGGAGCCAAAUACUCAGACAAAAAUAAAAACUAUGUAACUCCUCCUUUUGGAGAGGGAUUUCCAGGAACACAAGGUAUUAGACCACAUCUAAAGUCUCUUGUUAAUUUGUCACAAUUAGGUGCUUCUUAGAUACAUUUCUUCCUUUUGUACAACUGCUGACCCCCAAAUUACCAAAACUAUUACAACUACCAAUGAAGAGGAAAAAAAAAGAAAGAAAAAAGAAAAAAAAAGAAAAAGAAAAGAAAGGAAAAAGAAAGGGAAAAAAUGAAAAAGAAGAAGAAAAAAAUCUAUUAUUGUGACCUCCUUCGAACAACUGCAAAACAAUGUAUUCGCUCUUUAUACAGUAUCAUGCAAAUACACUUCAAAAACCACAGGAACCCCAGGGUGUUUGCCACACAGACACAGUGAAAGAAGGAAAGAUGAAAAGAAUUGGACAGACUUUCUGUAUGAGUUGCUAAAUUAAGAAAUGACUCUAUGCAUGCACAUGGUAUGUAUCAACUCUCAUCUUUACCCAAAGAAGAAUGCAGAUCUCCACAGCACGUACCGGACACAGAAAUACAUCAUAUAUCUCCACACACCCACAUAUUCAAGGGUUUUAUGUUUUAAAAAUGUUAGGGAAAAAACUCUGCAACUCUUUAUGAACUGGAGUUAACUUCCUCAUAGAUGUGGAUGUAUUGACAUUCAAUUGAAAUAUGGAACUUUUGUUGUAUUAAGUGAGCAAUACUUUGCAGAGCUUCCUCCAAAUCCCACUGAAAAACACCACUGGAUAUGGCACUUUCUGGACUCACUAUUGUACUAUAAUGCAAAUUACUUAGUGUUUGGCUUCAAUAUUUGCUGUUAAACUGAAUGACUGGCUACUGGUUACUCUAGUGCAGUGAUAAAGAGUCCAGAAACUGUGCAAUUGAGAAAAGGGUCACAGUGAAUCAUCCAUCACAAUGUAUCUUUCCAAUGUCAUGUUUUUUCAUAUUUUUUUCAGACUUUUUUUGAGCAAAAUUUGAUACCAUUUGUUAUUUGGGGUUCAAAUCUACCAUAUGCUUUCCAGCGCAUGUAAAAACAGACAAAUGCAUGGGAAACCAUGACAGACCAUCUCACUCAUAGACCUGUUGCAAUGACUUACUAUCAGAAGGCAUGGUUCAGAAAACCAUGUAAAUAUAGAUAGAGGAAGGACAUAGGCAAUUUGACUUGCCUCGGUGCCAUACUGUUCAUGCCUCAUGGUUCUUAAAAAAAUAUCAUGUCUGAUGGUGAUUCUCUAGGGCUAUAGUAAGGCAAACUUUGAAUGGACAGUUUGAGAAAAAAGGACUGAUGAGCCAAAAAGAGAGCUGAUGUUUUCAAAUAUUAGUUGUACUAAUAGGAGAUAUUACUCCUCCUGUAUUAUCUUAGCAUUCUUCAUGUACAUUUAUGCACAGCAUACGUGUUCUCCCCUUGUGGCCUUAUAUGAUAUACAGAUAUAUAAAGAUACAGUAGCAGAACAAUUACUGCUAGAGUUUAAAAGCAUCGUUGAAAGUGUUAUUUAAAACACAUCUUUCCAAUUUUGGUGAAAUAUCCACUUAAUGCUUUUGCAGCCUGGCUUUAAUUCCCUAAAUGAUGUCACAUCCACCUCAACUCAAAGUAAUAGUUUCUUUAUACAGCUUAUUUCCACAUCUUCAUUCUAACACGUGGAUUUUAUUUCCUAUACUGAGUGUUACUGUAAUGAUCAGCUUUCGUUCUCUCCAAAUAAAUAUUCAGUAAAUCUGCCUCCUAUGUAUUUACAUUUCUUCCUCAUUUAUUUUCCCGAAUCACUACCUAUUAAAAUGUGCCUGGAAAAACAUGACUUUUUCACUUUCUGUGUGUGUUUUGCAAUCAAUUUUUUUUUUCAGAGUGAAAAUAAUGUCAGCACAUCACAACUUGCUUCAAAAUUAUACUGAGUCAACUGUCACAGUACAAAUUGUAAUAAUAAUUCUGUUUUUCUAUUUUUGUCCCUUCUUCCCAUCAGCAGUUUCUCUACUGAAGAAUAUUUCAGUACACAAGCAACCCAGGAACAUAUCUUUUCUAUUGAUAAGCCUUAAGCUAGAGGAUCAUCACAUUAUCACAACCAGAAGACAGCUUCUUUGCUUGAGUAUCAGGAAGACGGGAGGAGAUUUGAGACAAUGUUUUGCUGAGAACCCUUCAGGUUUUGUUUACUACCUUGAUGAAAUACAAAGUUGGCUGCAGGAUAAGUCACGAGGACAGUAUGCCAAGAUGUGAGAACCUGCAGGAAGUCUUAGGGUCCCAACAGCCUUUUGGAACAACAGCACCUCCCUAAAACAUUACCAAACUGACAGAUGUUUUUCCUUUUCUCUUUGUGGAGAAUCAGAGACCUGUAAGAAACAUGAAAAGAAAAAAAAAUGUAAAGUCUAAUUUAAAAGCACAAAAGUAAGAACUAUCCAUAUCCAAUCCUAUCACAUCCUUCUUUUAGUCCUCCAGCUACUCUUCUUCCAAAAAUUCUUUAAAUUAAAUAGAAGCACAUUUAAUGUUUCAAAGAAAGUAACUAGCAGAACAAAUGUAUUCAUGAAAAAUAAACAACACUCAAAGGAGGACCGUUGUUAAACUCUCACUACAAAUUAAUCCGUCUGUCUACCUUCAGAUAUCUCAUGCAACUAGAUCAAAUCCUCAACAGAAAAGGAACAAACAGCAUAUGCCUUGCUUUCUAGACAAAGAAAAUAUGUGUGUAAUGGCCUCAGGUUAUAGAAACACUAUUUCCCUACAUUUAUGAGAAAUAUUUACUUCUUUGUUAACUAAAACUAUUCUGAUACCUUCAGCAGAAAAUGUUUGUGACUCUAAUGUCAGGAAGCACAGAUGCCUAAAAAAGACUAUUUUGCCCCAGAAUAAAGUAAAAUAUUCAGAGUUUAUCAAACCAUCAUAUCCAUUCAGCACAACACGGAAUGGUUUGGGUUGGAAGGGACCUUCAAGAUCAUCCCUUUCUAACCCAUUGUCACGGGCAGAGUUGCCAUGAAACAGAACUACUGCUACUUUGCAGAGACAUUAGGCAUGGGAAGUCUGAGAUUUGGCAUGGAAUAGAUCAUCCUACUGCACACUGAUUCCUGCAGAAUUUUUCUACUUGGCCAUUUCUUCCUGUAAAUCUGUGCUUUCAACAACUGCUCUCAUUAGCUUAGAAUAAGGGGAUGCUCCGGGAAAGCUUUCCACCAACCCAUUGGCCUAGAUUGACAAAGCAUUCAGCCUAACAAGCAAGACAGCAGAUUCCUUCUUUAUUAAUUUAAAUAGAACACUUGAGCUCCAGUGCAAGGUCUUUCUGCAGCUCAGGUUACAUCCAGUGAUGGUCCAGAGGUGGGAAUAGGGAUUAGAACCUGGGUGGUAUGUAAAAAACAGUAUUUUGCCAGCCUUUUCAUUAGGCUCUCAUUUCAAACUUGAUUGUAGAUUCAGAGACGGCAUAGCUGAAAACCUUUAACUAAUUCUCCACAGUGCACAGCAAGCAGUUUGGCCAACCAUCCAGCCAACAGUUUAAACAAGACUUGGGUUGGAACUUGGUUAUUAAUCAGGUUGCGAGUCCUAAGAGUGGAGCCUGUGCUGUGAUUUGGAGGGGGACAAAAAAGAACAGCCACAACACCGAUGUGGCACAACAAAAAGGUUCAAAAUUUUGCCAUCCUCACCACUUCCUCGGUCUUGAGGGGAAAGAAGGAGGGAGGGAAAGAGGGGGCCAACCGCCAUUUCACGACCGCUCCCCGCGCGCCGCUGCCCCGACGGAAGCCGCUGCCCUGAGGGAGCUCCCGCCCUGAGGCGCU